rnacentral:rRNA from 1 species
GCAAGUCGAGGGGCAGCAUGGUGUAGCAAUACACUGAUGGCGACCGGCAAACGGGUGCGGAACACGUACGCAACCUUCCUUUAAGUGGGGGAUAGCCCGGGGAAACCCGGAUUAAUACCCCGUAACACUGUUGAGUGGCAUCACUCGAUAGUUAUAGUUCCGACGCUUAAAGAUGGGCGUGCGCCUGAUUAGGUAGUUGGCGGGGUAACGGCCCACCAAGCCUACGAUCAGUAACUGGUGUGAGAGCACGACCAGUCACACGGGCACUGAGACACGGGCCCGACUCCUACGGGAGGCAGCAGUAAGGAAUAUUGGUCAAUGGACGCAAGUCUGAACCAGCCAUGCCGCGUGGAGGAUGAAGGUCCUCUGGAUUGUAAACUUCUUUUAUCUGGGAAGAAACCCCUGAAGUCUUUUAGGGUUGACGGUACCAGGUGAAUAAGCACCGGCUAACUCCGUGCCAGCAGCCGCGGUAAUACGGAGGGUGCAAGCGUUAUCCGGAUUCACUGGGUUUAAAGGGUGCGUAGGUGGGUUGGUAAGUCAGUGGUGAAAUCUCCGAGCUUAACUCGGAAACUGCCGUUGAUACUAUCAAUCUUGAAUAUCGUGGAGGUAAGCGGAAUAUGUCAUGUAGCGGUGAAAUGCUUAGAUAUGACAUAGAACACCGAUAGCGAUUAGAUAUGACAUAGAACACCGAUAGCGAAGGCAGCUUGCUACACGAUCAUUGACACUGAGGCACGAAAGCGUGGGGAUCAAACAGGAUUAGAUACCCUGGUAGUCCACGCCCUAAACGAUGGGAUACUCGACAUACGCGAUACACAGUUGUGUGUCUGAGCGAAGCAUUAAAGUAUCCCACUUGGAAGUUACGACGGCAAGCUCAACUCAAAAGUAAUUGGGCGGGGG